rnacentral:rRNA from 1 species
AGCUCUCAAAAUGCAUAGAAUCAUUGCUGCGGUUAAAAAGCUCGUAGUUGGAUCUCCGCCGGGCGGGGUGCCCCGUAAGCGGGGCCACUGCCGCCCGGCUCCCGGCCGGCCCGAGGCGCGAGCCGCGGGCGGCCCGUUUACUUUGAACAAAUCAGAGUGCUCAACACAGGCGUCGGCCUGAAUGUUCGUGCAUGGAAUAAUGGAAGAGGACUUCGGUUCUGUUUUAUUGGUUCUGCGACCGAGGUAAUGGUUAAUAGAGACAAACGGGGGCAUCCGUACCGCUGCGUGAGAGGUGAAAUUCUUGGACCGCAGCGAGACGCACGACAGCGAAAGCACUUGCCAAGCGUGUCUUCA